rnacentral:lncRNA from 1 species
GCUAUUCUAGACAUAAGAAACAGAAAAUAUAAAGGCUAUAAGGGGGGUGGGGACGAGUCAAGGGCAUUUGAUUAACAGAAAGCAAGGCGAUGUGACAAGGUACAGUGAGCAUGACAUUACAUAGCUCAAAACAAGGUUAGACUUGGAAGCAGCGGCCAGAUCAUAGAGGAUGUCAUAUGUCACAAAAAAGCAUUUACUGUCUUAGAAAUACGACCAGGUAACAAAAUGAAUCUUUUUGCAGUGGGAGCAGUUCAACAGCAAAGAAACAAGAAAACAGAAUAGGAAGAGGGAUCUAGUUACCCCAGGAAGGUGAACGUCUAGACAACAUUGAGAAUGAAAGACACAACGAGGGAGAAGACUUGUGACACAUGAAGGAGAGAGUUAGUGGGCAGAUCAUGAUGUCUUACUUCUCCUGAGUUUGCAGUUCACCUUAGAAUGACCCAAUGCUAUCUUCAUCCUAACUCCAGUCUCCCAGAAGAUAGACUCGUUGGCUCUGAUUAAGUGCACAUAUUUUGGUCCAAUCAGUCAUGGUCAGGAAAAGAAAAUCCUUCAUAGUUUUCAUUCUCAACAAAUUCCUUUACUAAAUUCCAGGAAGAUAUGCCUCUUUGUUUGAAGCUGGACACUCACCUUGGAAGACCGUUAUGUUCACUCCUUCACCAAGAGGGUAGAGUUGUCCUAUAGCACUUUUUGAAUCAAAGCAAUAAUUAUUUGGGAAAGAGCCAG